UACGUAGGUGACAAGCGUUGUCCGGAUUUACUGGGCGUAAAGAGCGCGCAGGCGGUUUGUCGCGUCGGGAGUGAAAACCAGGUGCUUAACACCUGGCUUGCUUUCGAUACGGGCAGACUAGAGGUAUGCAGGGGAGAACGGAAUUCCUGGUGUAGCGGUGAAAUGCGCAGAUAUCAGGAGGAACACCGGUGGCGAAGGCGGUUCUCUGGGCAUGACCUGACGCUGAGGAGCGAAAGUGUGGGGAGCGAACAGG
rnacentral:rRNA from 1 species